rnacentral:rRNA from 1 species
UUAAGCGACUAAGCGUACACGGUGGAUGCCCUGGCAGUCAGAGGCGAUGAAGGACGUGCUAAUCUGCGAUAAGCGCCGGUAAGGUGAUAUGAACCGUUAUAACCGGCGAUUUCCGAAUGGGGAAACCCAGUGUGAUUCGUCACACUAUCAUUAACUGAAUCCAUAGGUUAAUGAGGCGAACCGGGGGAACUGAAACAUCUAAGUACCCCGAGGAAAAGAAAUCAACCGAGAUUCCCCCAGUAGCGGCGAGCGAACGGGGAGGAGCCCAGAGCCUGAAUCAGCAUGUGUGUUAGUGGAAGCGUCUGGAAAGGUGCGCGAUACAGGGUGACAGCCCCGUACACAAAAGCGCAUGUGCUGUGAGCUCGAUGAGUAGGGCGGGACACGUGGUAUCCUGUCUGAAUAUGGGGGGACCAUCCUCCAAGGCUAAAUACUCCUGACUGACCGAUAGUGAACCAGUACCGUGAGGGAAAGGCGAAAAGAACCCCGGCGAGGGGAGUGAAAAAGAACCUGAAACCGUGUACGUACAAGCAGUGGGAGCACAGGUUUACCUGUGUGACUGCGUACCUUUUGUAUAAUGGGUCAGCGACUUAUAUUCUGUAGCAAGGUUAACCGAAUAGGGGAGCCGGAGGGAAACCGAGUCUUAAUUGGGCGUUAAGUUGCAGGGUAUAGACCCGAAACCCGGUGAUCUAGCCAUGGGCAGGUUGAAGGUUGGGUAACACUAACUGGAGGACCGAACCGACUAAUGUUGAAAAAUUAGCGGAUGACCUGUGGCUGGGGGUGAAAGGCCAAUCAAACCGGGAGAUAGCUGGUUCUCCCCGAAAGCUAUUUAGGUAGCGCCUCGUGAAUUCAUCUCCGGGGGUAGAGCACUGUUUCGGCUAGGGGGCCAUCCCGGCUUACCAACCCGAUGCAAACUGCGAAUACCGGAGAAUGUUAUCACGGGAGACACACGGCGGGUGCUAACGUCCGUCGUGAAGAGGGAAACAACCCAGACCGCCAGCUAAGGUCCCAAAGUCAUGGUUAAGUGGGAAACGAUGUGGGAAGGCCCAGACAGCCAGGAUGUUGGCUUAGAAGCAGCCAUCAUUUAAAGAAAGCGUAAUAGCUCACUGGUCGAGUCGGCCUGCGCGGAAGAUGUAACGGGGCUAAACCAUGCACCGAAGCUGCGGCAGCGAACGUAUCACCCAAGACAACUUUACGGAGUUGACGAUUGACGGAGCGAAGCGACGUCAAAGCGUUCAUUAAAGUCGAGUUGGCUUAGGAUACGUUCGUUGGGUAGGGGAGCGUUCUGUAAGCCUGUGAAGGUGUGUCGUGAGGCAUGCUGGAGGUAUCAGAAGUGCGAAUGCUGACAUAAGUAACGAUAAAGCGGGUGAAAAGCCCGCUCGCCGGAAGACCAAGGGUUCCUGUCCAACGUUAAUCGGGGCAGGGUGAGUCGACCCCUAAGGCGAGGCCGAAAGGCGUAGUCGAUGGGAAACGGGUUAAUAUUCCCGUACUUGGUGUUACUGCGAAGGGGGGACGGAGAAGGCUAUGUUGGCCGGGCGACGGUUGUCCCGGUUUAAGCGUGUAGGUGUGUGUUCCAGGUAAAUCCGGUUCACUUUAACACUGAGGCGUGACGACGAGGCACUACGGUGCUGAAGCAACAAAUGCCCUGCUUCCAGGAAAAGCCUCUAAGCAUCAGGUAACACGAAAUCGUACCCCAAACCGACACAGGUGGUCAGGUAGAGAAUACCAAGGCGCUUGAGAGAACUCGGGUGAAGGAACUAGGCAAAAUGGUGCCGUAACUUCGGGAGAAGGCACGCUGACACGUAGGUGAAGUGAUUUACUCAUGGAGCUGAAGUCAGUCGAAGAUACCAGCUGGCUGCAACUGUUUAUUAAAAACACAGCACUGUGCAAACACGAAAGUGGACGUAUACGGUGUGACGCCUGCCCGGUGCCGGAAGGUUAAUUGAUGGGGUCAGCGCAAGCGAAGCUCCUGAUCGAAGCCCCGGUAAACGGCGGCCGUAACUAUAACGGUCCUAAGGUAGCGAAAUUCCUUGUCGGGUAAGUUCCGACCUGCACGAAUGGCGUAAUGAUGGCCAGGCUGUCUCCACCCGAGACUCAGUGAAAUUGAACUCGCUGUGAAGAUGCAGUGUACCCGCGGCAAGACGGAAAGACCCCGUGAACCUUUACUAUAGCUUGACACUGAACAUUGAGCCUUGAUGUGUAGGAUAGGUGGGAGGCUUUGAAGUGUGGACGCCAGUCUGCAUGGAGCCGACCUUGAAAUACCACCCUUUAAUGUUUGAUGUUCUAACGUGGACCCGUAAUCCGGGUUGCGGACAGUGUCUGGUGGGUAGUUUGACUGGGGCGGUCUCCUCCUAAAGAGUAACGGAGGAGCACGAAGGUUGGCUAAUCCUGGUCGGACAUCAGGAGGUUAGUGCAAUGGCAUAAGCCAGCUUGACUGCGAGCGUGACGGCGCGAGCAGGUGCGAAAGCAGGUCAUAGUGAUCCGGUGGUUCUGAAUGGAAGGGCCAUCGCUCAACGGAUAAAAGGUACUCCGGGGAUAACAGGCUGAUACCGCCCAAGAGUUCAUAUCGACGGCGGUGUUUGGCACCUCGAUGUCGGCUCAUCACAUCCUGGGGCUGAAGUAGGUCCCAAGGGUAUGGCUGUUCGCCAUUUAAAGUGGUACGCGAGCUGGGUUUAGAACGUCGUGAGACAGUUCGGUCCCUAUCUGCCGUGGGCGCUGGAGAACUGAGGGGGGCUGCUCCUAGUACGAGAGGACCGGAGUGGACGCAUCACUGGUGUUCGGGUUGUCAUGCCAAUGGCACUGCCCGGUAGCUAAAUGCGGAAGAGAUAAGUGCUGAAAGCAUCUAAGCACGAAACUUGCCCCGAGAUGAGUUCUCCCUGAGACUUAGAGUCUCCUGAAGGAACGUUGAAGACGACGACGUUGAUAGGCCGGGUGUGUAAGCGCAGCGAUGCGUUGAGCUAACCGGUACUAAUGAACCGUGAGGCUUAACCU